UCGUCUGAAUUUCAUCGGGAAUGUGGUAUUUCCUAUACCGAUUGACCUGUUCCACUAAUAUCUCGCAACCUUGUUACUUUAAUAGACUAUUAAUACAAGUCGUUGCUUUACAGGCACGACUGGUUUCAACACGAUCUUGGAUGCCGCUCAACCGUCACCUGCCAACUAUUCUAAAGCGUCUUGCAUAAUCUGCCGGCUCUCUACAGAAAGGAAAAGCGUCCCAAAUUUCUGCUAGCAUCUCCAUCGACUGCUCAUCGCUCAUAGAGAUAUCGAAUUCGAAGAUCUAAAAUUUCAAACGAUGCGACCUUGAGUGACGGUCGACCCUGGAAGCCAUCGAUCGACAAGUGGUGAGUCAAACUAAAUGCCAUAAAGUAGUUCAGAAACAUAAAGCGUGAUGAUAUCGUGGAUGUAUAGAAGGUGUUGUGCCAUUUAGAGGAAAUUGUAAGUGCCCUCCACUCGUAUUUUCCGCUGUGAUAUAAAGCAAUUUCCACGAAGGUCUACGCGUGAACCCACCCCUUAUAGGCAUCCAAGGUCCAUUACUUAUGAAUUUGAAAAUUGGCUAAACUAUACUCCCUUAACUCAUAGACGAUAAAUGAAAGACGAUUACAUUUCUGAGAAAUUCGCAUCGAAUACACAGAACAGAAAAUGUGUAAAAUUCAUCCCCUACAUAUACUCGUAAC